rfam:Yarrowia lipolytica strain CLIB122 chromosome D complete sequence.
UCCGAUAUAGUGUAGGGGCUAUCACAUCACGCUCUCAUUCUGAGAACCGUGGAGACCGGGGUUCGAUUCCCCGUAUCGGAG